CAGUCGCCGCGGUAAUACGAAGGGUGCAAGCGUUAAUCGGAAUUACUGGGCGUAAAGCGUGCGUAGGCGGUUUGUUAAGUCUGUUGUGAAAUCCCCGGGCUCAACCUGGGAAUGGCAAUGGAUACUGGCAAGCUAGAGUGUGUCAGAGGAUGGUGGAAUUCCCGGUGUAGCGGUGAAAUGCGUAGAGAUCGGGAGGAACAUCAGUGGCGAAGGCGGCCAUCUGGGACAACACUGACGCUGAGGCACGAAAGCGUGGGGAGCAAACGGGAUUAGAUACCCGUGUAGUCCCUGUCUCUUAUAC
rnacentral:rRNA from 1 species